AGAGUUUGAUCCUGGCUCAGGACGAACGCUGGCGGCGUGCUUAACACAUGCAAGUCGAACGAUGAAGCCCUUCGGGGUGGAUUAGUGGCGAACGGGUGAGUAACACGUGGGUAAUCUGCCCUGUACUCUGGGAUAAGCCCGGGAAACUGGGUCUAAUACCGGAUAUGACCUUUCAUCGCAUGGUGAUUGGUGGAAAGUUCCGGCGGUGCAGGAUGAACCCGCGGCCUAUCAGCUUGUUGGUGGGGUGAUGGCCUACCAAGGCGACGACGGGUAGCCGGCCUGAGAGGGCGACCGGCCACACUGGGACUGAGACACGGCCCAGACUCCUACGGGAGGCAGCAGUGGGGAAUAUUGCGCAAUGGGCGAAAGCCUGACGCAGCGACGCCGCGUGAGGGAUGACGGCCUUCGGGUUGUAAACCUCUUUCGCACGGGACGAAGCGCAAGUGACGGUACCGUGAGAAGAAGCACCGGCUAACUACGUGCCAGCAGCCGCGGUAAUACGUAGGGUGCGAGCGUUGUCCGGAAUUAUUGGGCGUAAAGAGCUCGUAGGCGGUUUGUCGCGUCUAUCGUGAAAACUGGAGGCUUAACUUUCAGCGUGCGGUGGAUACGGGCAGACUUGAGUUCGGUAGGGGAGACUGGAAUUCCUGGUGUAGCGGUGAAAUGCGCAGAUAUCAGGAGGAACACCGGUGGCGAAGGCGGGUCUCUGGGCCGAUACUGACGCUGAGGAGCGAAAGCGUGGGGAGCGAACAGGAUUAGAUACCCUGGUAGUCCACGCUGUAAACGUUGGGCGCUAGGUGUGGGGAGCAUUCAUGUUUUCCGUGCCGUAGCUAACGCAUUAAGCGCCCUGCCUGGGGAGUACGGCGCAAGGCUAAACUUAAAUGAAUUGACGG
rnacentral:rRNA from 1 species